GGCACCUAAAGGCAAUCCGCUGUGGAGUCGUGGCAGCAACUGAGCAGGGUAGAAACACUGGGGUUCAGAUGGUGCGAGGUGGCAGAAACAGGAAAAGAGAGUGGUGGGCUCAAUGCAAACCUUUGACAAGCCCUGUAAGCUAUAGAACCCAAGAUCACCCAUGAAGACUCACCCUUAAAAGAAGGCCUAAUCUGGAAUAAAAAUCUGUGUGGACAAGCCUGAGAAUAACUGUGAAACUACUAUUCCGAUAUGCUCAGAGUUGCAAGUGAAAGCAGGAGCCUGCAGACAGCAUCACAAGAGACCUGAGAGUGAGGCAGUAGAGCAAACCCUGGAUGAUUGCCAAAAUAUCCAAUAAUAUCCUUUUCCAGAGGGGAAAACCGCCAGAAGCAGACACGUUGAGCCGGGCAGUAACUCUGGACAGUUGAGAUGCCAAAUGAGGAGUCAUAUUUCUCAUUCCCUCAGCUUCUAAGGACUAGAUAAGGCAAACUGUGACGCAGAAAGAUAAUUAUGCAGACUGCUAGAGUUAUUGCUGGAAGUGCUUCAAGUUCUCAGCCUGAAAGUUGUCUUCACAGACCAUCGUACUCAUACUCUGACUUCUAGAUGGGGUAAUGGGGAAGCCAGGUAAGUGUAUUUAACCUUUUGUCUUUUCUCCAAAGUGUUACCACUGAAAAAGUAAACCUGCUCAAAUAAUCUUCAAAGACAAAUUUGCACCACAUUCCAUGCUUAUCCUCACUGAAAAUUUCAGAUAAACAAUUUUACUUUUUCUCAGAGUUAAUGCUUG
rnacentral:lncRNA from 1 species